UCUUUUGCCGCAACUGCAUAUUGCUUGUAGGGAUGCGAACGAUACAUCGAUAUUUAGAAAACAUCGAUGUUUUGUUCAUAAACAUCGAUGUUAACAUUGAUGUUUUUAUAAACGAUACAUCGGCGUCAAAACCAAAAAACAUCGACAUCGUUCUUUUAAUAUGUGCCUGUGCUUUUUUUCCAAUUGAUAAAAAAACUAAAAUAUAAUAGUCUUCCACUUUUUAACAGUGUGAUUCGAAUAUAUUUUAAACUAAACAUUUUAGAAUUUUACAAAAAAUAUUUGAAUUACGUGUAUUCACCCUGUUUUAUAUUUUUUUCAAAAUUUUUUAUAGAUUUAAAAACAACAGAACACGGAAUGUUCUGCUGAUGUUUAAAGCGUGUUUGUGUGGCAUCACUGUCAUCGUUUUUUUUAAUAAAUAAUUUCUGUUGAUUAUUUUUUACAUUCUUGUAAAGUUUUGCCAUAAGGUGCUGCCGCAUACUUAGACAAAUUUAGCAGUUAAUGUAUUACUAACACAAUGCCACCAAAUAAAUUGAAAAGUAAAAUUUGGACUUAUUUUAAUAAAGCUGGGGAUAAAGAAGCUGUCUGCAAGAUAUGUAACAAAACCCUAAAAACUUCAGGCAAUACGAGUAACCUUGUGGUCAUUUAGAAAACGUUCAUUCGCAGCAACUGGCAGAUGAAGAUGUAAAAAGCAAGAAGGCUAAAACAGCUCAGCCAGCGUUGAAAAAAGUGCUUCAUCACAAAUUUCACUUGGUAGUACUGCGUUAACCAUUGCUGCUGUCAAUUCCAAAAAACCAAAACAAC